GACCUCAAAUCAGGUAGGACCACCCGCUGAACUUAAGCAUAUCAAUAAGCGGAGGAAAAGAAACUAACCAGGAUUCCCUUAGUAACUGCGAGUGAAGUGGGAAGAGCUCAAAUUUGUAAUCUGGCGGCCUUUGGACGUCCGAGUUGUAAUCUAAAGAAGUGCUACCUGUGCUGGACCGUGUACAAGUCUUCUGGAAUGGAGCAUCACAGAGGGUGAGAAUCCCGUCUUUGACAUGGACUGCCAGUGCUCAAUAGGUGUGCUCUCGAAGAGUCGAGUUGUUUGGGAAUGCAGCUCAAAAUGGGUGGUAAAUGCCAUCUAAAGCUAAAUAUUGGCGAGAGACCGAUAGCGAACAAGUACCGUGAGGGAAAGAUGAAAAGAACUUUGGAAAGAGAGUUAAACAGUACGUGAAAUUGCUGAAAGGGAAACGCUUGAAGUCAGUCGCGUCUGUCAGGAAUCAACCUUGCUCUUGCUGGGUGUACUUUCUGUCGGAUGGGUCAGCAUCAGUUUCGGUCGCUGGACAAAGUUCUUUGGGAAUGUGGCAUCCUCGGAUGUGUUAUAGCCCUUGGGACACAUGCAGCGGUCGGGAUUGAGGAACUCAGCACGCCC
rnacentral:rRNA from 1 species